rnacentral:tRNA from 1 species
GUUUCUAUAAUUUAACUAAAAUAGUGAUUUUGUAAAUCAAAUAUGAGUCUAACUCUAGAGAUA